UGCUCUACCCAAAUCAAUAAGAGGGAGAGUCUCUAAACAAGAUCCUGUUAAAGCAGUGACCUUAAACUUCAGGAAAUCUGCAUCUGGGCAUUGAAUUCAAGGAGAAACUCUUCUGUUUGUUGUGAUUGUUGUAAAACAAGGCUCACUUGGGAUGCUUUGCCUUCACAAGGCUCGCUGGGGUCCUUCUGCUUAUACCUUUGCAAGGCAGGGGAGAGCUGGGCUCCUUUUCAUGCAGCUGUCCUAUGAGAACUAUUGUUUCCCAUAAAUCAUCCAUGUUAUGACCUUAGGUAUUCUAUACAGUAGUCAUAAAGCAGAAAAUUAUAAUCUCUUUCUUAUCCAACUGUCUGCCUUGUAGAAAAUGAGUGUGUCUGUAAUUGGGCAUGAAGUAUUCCAAAUUGGGCCAUCGAACAGACUGCACCUGUUGUUCUCCUUAUUAUUAUUCCUUACACAAUCACAGCCACUGCUGUUGUGUUUUCAUUAAUUUUUCUAUUAACUUUUCCCCAUCAAUGUGAUUAAAGAUUCAUCAAUCUGAAGCAGAGUAAAACAACCUGCCACCACCCCCCAAAACUGAAGAUCGCAUCAAAACCGUCCUGAGUAUGACAUUAGGCACAAACUGAUCCAGCCUUUUAAAAAUGAGGUAUCUCUGAAAACAGAUAUGUUAGCAGAGGAUUAGCUGUUCAAACGGUCAAGUCAAACAAGGCGUAAUCAGGGCUAACUUUACACCUCCUCCUCAUUUCACUUCCCCCAUCUGUGAUUUCACCACCCUUUAGAUGGGAGCUUAACUUAGUAGCAAUUAUCUUGUACCAAUUAUCUGUGUAUGUAAUUUGGCCGUGUAAUUCCAACUUGGCUAAUUUUUUAUAUGCUAUGUAUUUAAUGGAGCUGAAGGAUUUUUCAUUCCCUCUUGUUAUAGUCCUUUAAGAAACACAUGUGCUCUCCUGCCUCCUAUCUCUUUCUGACUGUAAUGAGCCACGUUGCCUUUGAGUUGGAAAAGUGCUGGUGCUAGCAGCUUGUGAAGAAUGGGGAAUGAUGGCAAUAGAAGUCAGAAUGCCUCUAGGUGUGGUGUGUUUGUGUGCAUGUAGCAAAGGUCAAUUGGUGACUGUAGUUUCAGCAGUAUUAUUUUGCUGUAUAAAACCCAGGCAUGACUUUUUCCUUAAUAUAUAAGCCCUUUUUCCCCCAAAUAAACUGCUUGUGACUACCCUCAUGUUAAGCCACUGACAGAAGGGAGUACAGCAUAAUUGGGCAUGGAAAGAGACUCAUGUUUAAACCCGUUUUUCCCAAAAUCUUCUCUAUAUUUUCAAAGAUAAUUUCAACUUAGUGCUUUUAGGGAAUCAAUGAAAGGAUUCUGAUGUGUUAAUGUACUUUGACUGAGGGCUUCCUGGUGCUUGCUGCACUCCUCCUGUGCUUCAAGACCAGGCUCUCUUAGGUUACAUGCUAACUCUCAUUGGCAGCAAAGGUAGCAGUGAUCAUCACCUCUCCAGUCGGAAUUAGUUUUCCUCACAGCAGCCAGUGUUUAGAUUUUGAUUUAACAAAGUGUUGUGGCUUACCCUGGGAAACCAAUGUUACUUCAUUUAGUCUUGUCUGUCUCACCUAAUGGAGGGCAGAUUAAACUGUGUGCGUUGGAAACUGAAUCACAGUCUUAUUACCCAGCUGGGGAGAACUUAAACUGCUGUCCAUAGAGCAAUUUGGGCAAGGGGCUUGCCCCAGAGGCUGCUGGCAAUGAUUUACCUGGUUUAUGUGCUUUUUCCAAAGUGUGCAUGUGUUCAUUAUGUGACUUGUUUUGUACAGAA